AGCGAACGCUGGCGGCAGGCUUAACACAUGCAAGUCGAGCGGACCUUUCGGGGUCAGCGGCGGACGGGUGAGUAACGCGUGGGAACGUGCCUUCCGGUUCGGAAUAACCCUGGGAAACUAGGGCUAAUACCGGAUACGCCCUUAUGGGGAAAGGUUUACUGCCGGAAGAUCGGCCCGCGUCUGAUUAGCUAGUUGGUGGGGUAACGGCCUACCAAGGCGACGAUCAGUAGCUGGUCUGAGAGGAUGAUCAGCCACACUGGGACUGAGACACGGCCCAGACUCCUACGGGAGGCAGCAGUGGGGAAUAUUGGACAAUGGGCGCGAGCCUGAUCCAGCCAUGCCGCGUGAGUGAUGAAGGCCUUAGGGUUGUAAAGCUCUUUUAUCCGGGACGAUAAUGACGGUACCGGAGGAAUAAGCCCCGGCUAACUUCGUG
rnacentral:rRNA from 1 species